GCUUACUUAGCAUAAUUAAUAAUGCGUGUAAUUUGUAAUUAUAAGAUCAAAUAUUAUUUUUGAGUAAGCU
rnacentral:tRNA from 1 species